CAUAAUCAUUAGUCUUUUAAUUGAAGGCUGGUAUGAAUGGUUGGAUGAAAUAUUAACUGUUUCAUUUAAAAUUUUUAUAGAAUUUUAUUUUUUAGUUAAAAAGCUAAAAUAUUAUUAAAAGACGAGAAGACCCUAUAAAUCUUUAUAUUUUAUUUUUAUUAAUUAUUUAGAUGUUUUUGAUUAUUAUAAAUUAAAAUAUUUUAUUGGGGUGAUAUUAAAAUUUAAUAAACUUUUAAUUUUUAAAAACAUAAAUUCAUGAAUUUUUGAUCCAUUAUUAAUGAUUAAAAAUUUAAGUUACUUUAGGGAUAACAGCGUAAUUUUUUUGGAGAGUUCAUAUCGAUAAAAAAGAUU
rnacentral:rRNA from 1 species